rnacentral:rRNA from 1 species
GAUGAACGCUGGCGGCGUGCUUAACACAUGCAAGUCGAACGAUGAAGCCCAGCUUGCUGGGUGGAUUAGUGGCGAACGGGUGAGUAACACGUGAGUAACCUGCCCCCGACUCUGGGAUAAGCCCGGGAAACUGGGUCUAAUACCGGAUAUUACCUCUUGCCGCAUGGCAGGUGGUGGAAAGAUUUAUCGGUGGGGGAUGGACUCGCGGCCUAUCAGCUUGUUGGUGAGGUAAUGGCUCACCAAGGCGACGACGGGUAGCCGGCCUGAGAGGGUGACCGGCCACGGGGGCACUGAGAUACGGGCCCC